UACGGGGGGAGCAAACGUUGUUCGGAAUCACUGGGCGUAAAGGGCGUGUAGGCGGCUGGAUAAGUGGGAUGUUAAAUCCCCCGGCUCAACCGGGGACCUGCAUCUCAUACUGUUCAGCUCGAGCACAUCAGAGGAGACUGGAAUUCCCGGUGUAGCGGUGAAAUGCGCAGAUAUCAGGAGGAACACCGGUGGCGAAGGCGGGUCUCUGGGCCGAUACUGACGCUGAGGAGCGAAAGCCAGGGGAGCAAACGGG
rnacentral:rRNA from 1 species